CAAUUUAAACAACGAAGAGUUUGAUCCUGGCUCAGGAUGAACGCUAGCGACAGGCUUAACACAUGCAAGUCGAGGGGCAGCACAGGUAGCAAUACCGGGUGGCGACCGGCGCACGGGUGAGUAACGCGUAUGCAACUUGCCUAUCAGAGGGGGAUAACCCGGCGAAAGUCGGACUAAUACCGCAUGAAGCAGGGAUCCCGCAUGGGAAUAUUUGCUAAAGAUUCAUCGCUGAUAGAUAGGCAUGCGUUCCAUUAGGCAGUUGGCGGGGUAACGGCCCACCAAACCGACGAUGGAUAGGGGUUCUGAGAGGAAGGUCCCCCACAUUGGUACUGAGACACGGACCAAACUCCUACGGGAGGCAGCAGUGAGGAAUAUUGGUCAAUGGGCGUAAGCCUGAACCAGCCAAGUCGCGUGAGGGAUGAAGGUUCUAUGGAUCGUAAACCUCUUUUAUAAGGGAAUAAAGUGCGGGACGUGUCCCGUUUUGUAUGUACCUUAUGAAUAAGGAUCGGCUAACUCCGUGCCAGCAGCCGCGGUAAUACGGAGGAUCCGAGCGUUAUCCGGAUUUAUUGGGUUUAAAGGGUGCGUAGGCGGCCUUUUAAGUCAGCGGUGAAAGUCUGUGGCUCAACCAUAGAAUUGCCGUUGAAACUGGGAGGCUUGAGUAUGUUUGAGGCAGGCGGAAUGCGUGGUGUAGCGGUGAAAUGCUUAGAUAUCACGCAGAACCCCGAUUGCGAAGGCAGCCUGCCAAGCCAUUACUGACGCUGAUGCACGAAAGCGUGGGGAUCAAACAGGAUUAGAUACCCUGGUAGUCCACGCAGUAAACGAUGAUCACUAGCUGUUUGCGAUACACUGUAAGCGGCACAGCGAAAGCGUUAAGUGAUCCACCUGGGGAGUACGCCGGCAACGGUGAAACUCAAAGGAAUUGACGGGGGCCCGCACAAGCGGAGGAACAUGUGGUUUAAUUCGAUGAUACGCGAGGAACCUUACCCGGGUUUGAACGCAUUUUGACAGCUCUGGAAACAGAGCCUCUAGCAAUAGCGAUUUGCGAGGUGCUGCAUGGUUGUCGUCAGCUCGUGCCGUGAGGUGUCGGCUUAAGUGCCAUAACGAGCGCAACCCUUGCCACUAGUUACUAACAGGUAAAGCUGAGGACUCUGGUGGGACUGCCAGCGUAAGCUGCGAGGAAGGCGGGGAUGACGUCAAAUCAGCACGGCCCUUACAUCCGGGGCGACACACGUGUUACAAUGGCGUGGACAAAGGGAGGCCACCUGGCGACAGGGAGCGAAUCCCCAAACCACGUCUCAGUUCGGAUCGGAGUCUGCAACCCGACUCCGUGAAGCUGGAUUCGCUAGUAAUCGCGCAUCAGCCAUGGCGCGGUGAAUACGUUCCCGGGCCUUGUACACACCGCCCGUCAAGCCAUGGGAGCCGGGGGUACCUGAAGUCCGUAACCGAAAGGAUCGGCCUAGGGUAAAACUGGUGACUGGGGCUAAGUCGUAACAAGGUAGCCGUACCGGAAGGUGCGGCUGGAACACCUCCUUUCU
rnacentral:rRNA from 1 species